rnacentral:rRNA from 1 species
UACGUAGGGUGCGAGCGUUGUCCGGAAUUAUUGGGCGUAAAGAGCUUGUAGGCGGUUUGUCGCGUCUGCCGUGAAAAUUCGAGGCUCAACCUCGAACUUGCGGUGGGUACGGGCAGACUAGAGUGUGGCAGGGGAGACUGGAAUUCCUGGUGUAGCGGUGAAAUGCGCAGAUAUCAGGAGGAACACCGGUGCGAAGGCGGGUCUCUGGGCCGAUACUGACGCUGAGGAGCGAAAGCGUGGGGAGCGAACAGG